UGGGGCAGGAGUGUCCUUGCUGUCCUGUGCCCUCCUGGCUUCUGCCUGUCCCUGGGAUCUUGGGCUGUGUUCCUGGCGCCCAGUGCUCCCGGGCCUGGCUGUUGGA
rnacentral:miRNA from 1 species